rnacentral:rRNA from 1 species
AGGACGAACGCUGGCGGUGUGCUUAAUGCAUGCAAGUCACACGGGCAACCUUAGGGUUGUCAGUGGCGCACGGCUGAGGAACACGUGGGUUAUCUGCCCUGGGGUGGGGGAUAACGCGCCGAAAGGUGCGCUAAUCCCGCAUACGUUUGCACAUUAUAGUGCAAAGAAAGCUUCCAAGCGCCCUAGGAGGAGCCUGCGCCCCAUCAUGGUAGUUGGUAGGGUAACGGCCUACCAAGCCUUUGACGGGUCCCUGGUCUGAGAGGACGACCAGGCAGACUGGGACUGAGAUACGGCCCAGACUCCUACGGGAGGCAGCAGCAAGGAAUUUUCGGCAAUGGGCGCAAGCCUGACCGAGCAACACCGCGUGCGGGACGAAGGCCUUCGGGUUGUAAACCGCUUUUGCAAAGGACGAAUUUUUGACGGUACUUUGCGAAUAAGCCCCGGCUAACUCCGUGCCAGCAGCCGCGGUAAGACGGAGGGGGCAAGCGUUGUCCGGACUCACUGGGCGUAAAGCGUGCGUAGGCGGUAGGAUGCGUCGGUACUGAAAGCUCCUUGCUUAACAAGGAAGGGCGUAUCGAUACGAUCCAACUCGAGGAAGUGGGAGGUUGGCAGAAUUCCGGGUGUAGUGGUGAAAUGCGUAGAUAUCCGGAGGAAUACCGGUGGUGUAGACGGCCAACUAAGACUUUCCUGACGCUGAGGCACGAAAGCGUGGGUAGCGAACCGGAUUAGAUACCCGGGUAGUCCACGCAGUAAACUAUGUCGGCUCGGUGUGCGGCGCUGAUUAUACAGCGCGGCGUGCCUAAGCUUACGCGGUAAGCCGACCGCCUGGGGACUACGAGCGCAAGCUUAAAACUCAAAGGAAUUGACGGGGGCCCGCACAAGCAGCGGAGCGUGUGGUUUAAUUCGACACAACGCGAAGAACCUUACCCAGGCUUGACAUGUUCCUGCAAGCGCACAGAAAUGUGUGACCUUCGAGGGUGGAACACAGGUGCUGCAUGGCUGUCGUCAGCUCGUGUCGUGAGAUGUUGGGUUAAGUCCCGCAACGAGCGCAACCCCCGCCGCCAGUUACAAGUGUCUGGCGGGACAGCCACCUUUUCGGUGGAGGAAGGCGGGGAUGACGUCAAGUCAGCAUGGCCCUUACGCCUGGGGCUACACACACGCUACAAUGACCGUGACAAUGCGUUGCAACUUCGCAAGAAGUAGCUAAUCGCCAAACACGGUCCCAGUGCAGAUCGGGGGCUGCAACUCGCCCCCGUGAAGAUGGAGUUGCUAGUAACCGCGUAUCAGCUAUGGCGCGGUGAAUACGUACCCGGGCCUUGUACACACCGCCCGUCACGUCAUGGGAGUUGGUAAUGCCUGAAGUCCGUCAGCUAACCCGCAAGGGAGGCAGCGGCCGAAGGCAGGACUAGCGACUGGGACGAAGUCGUAACAAGGUA